rnacentral:rRNA from 1 species
UACACUCCUACGGGAGGCAGCAGUGGGGAAUUUUGGACAAUGGGCGAAAGCCUGAUCCAGCAAUGCCGCGUGAGUGAAGAAGGCCUUCGGGUUGUAAAGCUCUUUUGUCAGGGAAGAAACGGUGAAAGCUAAUAUCUUUUGCUAAUGACGGUACCUGAAGAAUAAGCACCGGCUAACUACGUGCCAGCAGCCGCGGUAAUACGUAGGGUGCAAGCGUUAAUCGGAAUUACUGGGCGUAAAGCGUGCGCAGGCGGUUUUGUAAGUCUGAUGUGAAAUCCCCGGGCUCAACCUGGGAAUUGCAUUGGAGACUGCAAGGCUAGAAUCUGGCAGAGGGGGGUAGAAUUCCACGUGUAGCAGUGAAAUGCGUAGAUAUGUGGAGGAACACCGAUGGCGAAGGCAGCCCCCUGGGUCAAGAUUGACGCUCAUGCACGAAAGCGUGGGGAGCAAACAGGAUUAGAAACCCUGGUAGUCC